rnacentral:rRNA from 1 species
CGCCCCUCCUCUUCCUCUAGUGGUCGCCCUCGCUGCCAACUCUCCAAGAAGGCCGGCCACGAGGUUAUGGACUGUUGGUACCGCUUCGAUGAGGACUACGUUCCCGAUGCUAAACAUGUUGCUGCAACCAUGCGUGAGCAAGGAGGAGAUGGCGUGUGGUAUGUUGAUUCCGGCGCCACGGAUCAUGUUACAAGUGAGCUAGAGCAGCUCGCUCUCCGUGAAAAAUAUCACGGCAAUGAUCAGAUUCACACCGCAAGCGGUGGAGGAUCGGGCAACGAGGGAACUUCUACGCCACGGUAG